UACGUAGGGCGCAAGCGUUAUCCGGAAUUAUUGGGCGUAAAGGGCUCGUAGGCGGUCUGUCACGUCGAAAGUGAAAACUCAGGGCUUAACCCUGAGCCUGCUUCCGAUACGGGCAGACUAGAGGUAUGCAGGGGAGAACGGAAUUCCUGGUGUAGCGGUGAAAUGCGCAGAUAUCAGGAGGAACACCGGUGGCGAAGGCGGUUCUCUGGGCAUUACCUGACGCUGAGGAGCGAAAGUGUGGGGAGCGAACAGG
rnacentral:rRNA from 1 species